UACGGGGGGGACUAGCGUUGUUCGGAAUUACUGGGCGUAAAGCGCACGUAGGCGGAUUUGUAAGUCAGGGGUGAAAUCCCGGGGCUCAACCUCGGAACUGCAUUUGAUACUGCAAAUCUCGAGUCCGGAAGAGGUGAGUGGAAUUCCUAGUGUAGAGGUGAAAUUCGUAGAUAUUAGGAAGAACACCAGUGGCGAAGGCGGCUCACUGGUCCGGUACUGACGCUGAGGUGCGAAAGCGUGGGGAGCAAACAGG
rnacentral:rRNA from 1 species